ACACUGAUUUAGACAACAAAGACUAGAAAACCUGAAGAAAAAGUUAAUCUUUACGCGUCCCCCAGCUAUGUGAGGAUCAAUUCAUUUUACCCGUGUGACAGAAUGGCCCUCUGACUCCCUGAUGUGCUUUUCUCAGGUGAACUGAGGGAGAAGAGACCGCAUUAGCUCCUACUGUGCGGCUGCUCGCUGACUGGUACAAGAGGAUACGACAGCAACAAUGGCGCUCUGUCUGAAACGCUGCGGUUUCCACCAGCCGUGGCCACCGGAGGGGACUGACUGUCGGCAUCACUGCCGGCUUCGGAUCUCUCACAUCAGGACUGUUGCCCCCAGCGACCGGAUCUCAGAGAAGUGGAAGACUGGAUCAAAUGGAUGAAUGGACGUGCAGCUUUUCAUGGCCUCCUGGGACUCGUCCCACUCCAGGGUCGCCAUAGCAACAGCCAUAGCCACUACAUCCCCUUGACACAGGGAGCAAAUUGGGUCCACCAGUGAUUGUGAAUCUUUAAUCACCCCCUCCCUAAACCCCCCAAGGGCCUCUCUCACCGUCAGUGGGCGCCAUGGAAACAACACUCCGCUAGGUUCCUGUUCAUAAACGCCACUGAGGUUGGGCUGCAGGUAACCAAUGUUUAUCUUUGAAGUGAUGAAUUAUUUGUUUAUUCGGCUAAAAAGCAGCGCUUGCAUAAUCGCCAUAAAUCUGUAAAGCCACGGCAAUCUGUCAGGCUCCUUUGAGCAUCGCUGACGGCCAAAACUAAUCAGAGGAAUUGAAAAAAUUCGAGAGCAACGAAGCUCUUCAUUUACCAAACGAACACAGACGACGUAGAGCAAGGAGGUGCUCCUUAAAAACACGGCUGCUUCCAAUUGGCUGCAAUGUAUUUUAACUGAAUAUUUAUGUGACGUCGAGGGAAAAUAAAACUUGGUUUUCAUUUUGUUUGCCCAAACAUUUGAAGAGUAGUACUUCUUAAUUAAGCCCCUUUUACGAUGCUACCCCCAAAAAAGACUAAAGUCCUGUGGAACCAAUCAGAAGUCAUCUAGUCGUCUGCCUGAACGUAUUUUAAUGGCGGACAGUCUAAGCUAAAAGCUGAAAGGCUGGAGAGAGAAAUGGUCAAUAAAUCUGACCUUCACGGCAGAGUAGCACUUAAUUCCACAUUUGGUUUUAACUUUAUAUAGUUUGUUUCUUUUAUGCAAUACUUGUAAAAUGUUUGACAAGAAAAACGUGAAUUGUGUCGCAUACGAAUAAACUUUAUUUUAUUUGCAGCACGAGCUGCGACAAAACGGUCCAGAUUCACGCGUUAGAAUGGCCUAGUCAAAGUCCAGACCUAAACACAACUGAGAAUCCGUGGCAAGACCUUAAGAUUGGUGUUCAGAGAAGCUUUUCGUGUUUGUCUGGAAGCUCCGCAUUUUGUUAUAAUAGAAAUAAAAUCUGUUAUUAUUAUCGAUAUCGAUCCAACGAAGCUCAAGCUGUUUUUCAAAUAUGUGCACAAAUUGUGGAAAAAAUAAAUAAA